GUUGCUUUGAAGUUGUUUAGAUCGAACUUUUAAUGCGAUGGUCGUGCGUUCGAAUCGCACACGACCCACCA
rnacentral:tRNA from 1 species